rnacentral:rRNA from 1 species
GACGAACCGUGCGAACGUUGUUCGGAAUCACUGGGCUUAAAGGGCGCGUAGGCGGUUUGCCAAGUCAGGGGUGAAAUCCUGCAGCUCAACUGUAGAAGUGCCUUUGAUACUGGCGAACUCGAGAGAGGUAGGGGUGGGUGGAACUUCUGGUGGAGCGGUGAAAUGCGUUGAUAUCAGAAGGAACGCCGGUGGCGAAAGCGACCCACUGGAUCUCUACUGACGCUGAGGCGCGAAAGCUAGGGGAGCAAACGGG